AAAAACAUAGUAUAAUAUAAUACAUUUCACUUACACUGAAAAUAUGCUUAAUGUUAAGCUGUUUUUAACCUAAA
rnacentral:tRNA from 1 species